rnacentral:rRNA from 1 species
AUGGCGCUGCCGGAGAACAUCGACGGCGGCCAUCGGGCCAUCGUCAUCGAAGACGUCCCGCCGGGCACCGGGAUCGCAGACCUCGUCGGCGCCUUCUCUCCUUUCGGCACGAUCCAGUUCGCUUCCAUGGGUCCUCCUGCCGUCUUGGGUUUCGAGAGCGAGGAGGCCGCGGCGCACGCGCUGCUUGUGGCGUCCAUGAAGAGCGUCAGCCUCCUCGGCGUCUACAGGGAGAAGGCGACCAGUCCGAUCGAGGCAGCUGCGAUGCCGCCAUCAGCCGUGGCCGCGGCUCCAGAGGGAGCGACCAGUACGACGGCCGAGACCAAGACCAGCCAGAACAAGGCAGCGUCGGCGCCCGCCGUGCACAUAGACCAGGAGGCGAUCAGCUCACUCCUGGACUCCAUCCUCGCCCUGGAGGAAAACCUCGACACCUUGAAUAGCCUGCUCACCCAGCAUAGCUCCAAGAAGGAGGAGAAGGAGGAGGAGGGCGACGACAUCGACGUUUACAACUACGACAAGGCCUGGACAGACGGCUACAAUUCAGCCUUGUACUGGCCGGACGACAACUACUACGACGCCUGGUUCGCCGGCUACCAGGCUGGACCCAAGGAUUCUCCGAUUGGUUGA